UGGGGAAUCUUGCGCAAUGGGGGAAACCCUGACGCAGCGACGCCGCGUGCGGGAUGAAGGCCUUCGGGUUGUAAACCGCUUUCAGCAGGGACGAGGCCUUAUGGUGACGGUACCUGCAGAAGAAGCUCCGGCUAAAUACGCGCCAGCAGCCGCGGUAAUACGUAUGGAGCAAGCGUUAUCCGGAUUCAUUGGGCGUAAAGCGCUCGUAGGCGGUCUGUUAGGUCGGCAAGUUAAAUCCGGGGGCUCAACCCCCGUCCGCUUCCGAUACCGGCAGACUUGAGUUUGGUAGGGGAAGGUGGAAUUCCUAGUGUAGCGGUGGAAUGCGCAGAUAUUAGGAAGAACACCGGUGGCGAAGGCGGCCUUCUGGGCCAUAACUGACGCUGAGGAGCGAAAGCUAGGGGAGCGAACAGG
rnacentral:rRNA from 1 species